rnacentral:misc_RNA from 1 species
UCCGAGUUGACCCCGGCAGUAUCCCAUGAGUUCCCACCAUUACGUGCUGGCAACAUAGAACGAGGGUUGCGCUCGUUGCGGGACUUAACCCAACAUCUCACGACACGAGCUGACGACAACCAUGCACCACCUGUUCACCAGUGUCCAAAGAGUCCCGUAUUUCUACGGUGUUCUGGUGUAUGUCAAGCCUUGGUAAGGUUCUUCGCGUUGCAUCGAAUUAAUCCGCAUGCUCCGCCGCUUGUGCGGGUCCCCGUCAAUUCCUUUGAGUUUUAGCCUUGCGGCCGUACUCCCCAGGCGGGGAACUUAAUGCGUUAGCUGCGUCACGGAAACCGUGGAAUGGUCCCCACAACUAGUUCCCAACGUUUACGGGGUGGACUAC